ACCUGGCUGGCUCAGCUGGUAGAGCAUGUGACUCUUGAUCUCAAGGUUGUGGGUUCAAGCCCCAUGUUGGGUG
rnacentral:tRNA from 2 species